ACGCUCACUUCAGCAGCAUACAUACUAAAAUUGGAAUCAUACAGUGAAGAUCAACAUAACCCCUGCACAAAGAUGACACACAAAUUUGUGAAAAAUUCAGUUUUUUU
rnacentral:snRNA from 1 species